rnacentral:rRNA from 1 species
UACAGAGGGGGCAAGCGUUGUUCGGAAUUACUGGGCGUAAAGGGCGCGUAGGCGGCCUCCUAAGUCAGACGUGAAAUCCCUCGGCUCAACCGGGGAACUGCGUCUGAUACUGGGUGGCUUGAAUCCGGGAGAGGGAUGCGGAAUUCCAGGUGUAGCGGUGAAAUGCGUAGAUAUCUGGAGGAAUACCGGUGGCGAAGGCGGCAUCCUGGACCGGCAUUGACGCUGAGGAGCGAAAGCCAGGGGAGCAAACGGG